rnacentral:rRNA from 1 species
GGUUAAGUUAGAAAGGGCGCACGGUGGAUGCCUUGGCACUAGGAGCCGAAGAAGGACGGGACUAACACCGAUAUGCUUUGGGGAGCUGUACGUAAGCGUUGAUCCAGAGAUUUCCGAAUGGGGGAACCCACUAUCUUUAGUCGGAUAGUAUCCUUACGUGAAUACAUAGCGUGAGGAAGGCAGACCCAGGGAACUGAAACAUCUAAGUACCUGGAGGAAGAGAAAGAAAAAUCGAUUUCCUGAGUAGCGGCGAGCGAAACGGAAAGAGCCCAAACCAAGAAGCUUGCUUCUUGGGGUUGUAGGACACUCUAUACGGAGUUACAAAAGAAAGUUAUAAAUGAAGCGGUCUGGAAAGGCCCGCCAAAGACGGUAACAGCCCGGUAGUUGAAAUGGCUUUCCCUCCAGAGUGGAUCCUGAGUACGGCGGAACACGUGAAAUUCCGUCGGAAUCCGGGAGGACCAUCUCCCAAGGCUAAAUACUCCCUAGUGACCGAUAGUGAACCAGUACCGUGAGGGAAAGGUGAAAAGCACCCCGGAAGGGGAGUGAAACAGUUCCUGAAACCGUGUGCCUACAAGUAGUUAGAGCCCGUUAAUGGGUGAUAGCGUGCCUUUUGUAGAAUGAACCGGCGAGUUACGAUUUGUUGCAAGGUUAAGCGGAAAAAGCGGAGCCGUAGCGAAAGCGAGUCUGAAUAGGGCGCAUAAGUAACAGGUCGUAGACCCGAAACCAGGUGAUCUACCCAUGUCCAGGAUGAAGGUAAGGUAAUACUUACUGGAGGUCCGAACCCACGCACGUUGAAAAGUGCGGGGAUGAGGUGUGGGUAGCGGAGAAAUUCCAAUCGAACUUGGAGAUAGCUGGUUCUCUCCGAAAUAGCUUUAGGGCUAGCCUCGAGGUAAAGAGUCAUGGAGGUAGAGCACUGUUUGGACUAGGGGCCCUUCUCGGGUUACCGAAUUCAGAUAAACUCCGAAUGCCAUGUACUUAUACUCGGGAGUCAGACUGCGAGUGAUAAGAUCCGUAGUCGAAAGGGAAACAGCCCAGACCACCAGUUAAGGUCCCCAAAUAUAUGUUAAGUGGAAAAGGAUGUGGGGUUGCUUAGACAACCAGGAUGUUGGCUUAGAAGCAGCCACCAUUGAAAGAGUGCGUAAUAGCUCACUGGUCGAGUGACCCCGCGCCGAAAAUGUACCGGGGCUAAACAUAUUACCGAAACUGUGGAUGAACCUCUUUAGAGGUUCGUGGUAGGAGAGCGUUCUAAGGGCGGUGAAGUCAGACCGGAAGGACUGGUGGAGCGCUUAGAAGUGAGAAUGCCGGUAUGAGUAGCGAAAGAAGGGUGAGAAUCCCUUCCACCGAAUAUCUAAGGUUUCCUGAGGAAGGCUCGUCCGCUCAGGGUUAGUCGGGACCUAAGCCGAGGCCGAUAGGCGUAGGCGAUGGACAACAGGUAGAGAUUCCUGUACCAGUGCUAAUUGUUUAACCGAUGGGGUGACACAGAAGGAUAGGGAAUCGCACGAAUGGAAAUGUGCGUCCAAGCAGUGAGUGUGAGAAGUAGGCAAAUCCGCUUCUCGCGAAGCAUGAGCUGUGAUGGGGAAGGAAAUUAAGUACGGAAGUUCCUGAUUUCACGCUGUCAAGAAAAGCCUCUAGGAAGAGUAGUACUGCCCGUACCGCAAACCGACACAGGUAGAUGAGGAGAGAAUCCUAAGGUGAGCGAGAGAACUCUCGUUAAGGAACUCGGCAAAAUGACCCCGUAACUUCGGGAGAAGGGGUGCUCUAUUAGGGUGCAAGCCCGAGAGAGCCGCAGUGAAUAGGCCCAGGCGACUGUUUAGCAAAAACACAGGUCUCUGCAAAACCGUAAGGUGACGUAUAGGGGCUGACGCCUGCCCGGUGCUGGAAGGUUAAGAGGAGUGCUUAGCUUCGGCGAAGGUACGAAUUGAAGCCCCAGUAAACGGCGGCCGUAACUAUAACGGUCCUAAGGUAGCGAAAUUCCUUGUCGGGUAAGUUCCGAC